CCUCUAGCUUUAUAAGCAUGUGUUUGCUCUGUGCACAUGUAAGUAAGCAGUGGACAAGAGCAGAGCCAGUGCUAUGCCUUCAGUACUAGUGGCGUCUGAUUAUCUGCUAGUACUAUUCUCAAUUGCUGGUACACUA